rnacentral:rRNA from 1 species
UACGAAGGGGGCUAGCGUUGCUCGGAAUGACUGGGCGUAAAGGGCGCGUAGGCGGCUUAUACAGUCAGGCGUGAAAUUCCUGGGCUCAACCUGGGGACUGCGUCUGAUACGUAUGGGCUUGAGUGUGAAAGAGGGUCGUGGAAUUUCCAGUGUAGAGGUGAAAUUCGUAGAUAUUGGAAAGAACACCGGUGGCGAAGGCGGCGACCUGGUUCAUUACUGACGCUGAGGCGCGAAAGCGUGGGGGAGCAAACAGGAUUAGAUACCCUGGUAGUCCACGCUGUAAACGAUGUGUGCUGGAUGUUGGGGGUGCUUAGCACUUCAGUGUCGUAGCUAACGCGGUAAGCACACCGCCUGGGGAGUACGGCCGCAAGGUUGAAACUC